rnacentral:rRNA from 1 species
AUUGAACGCUGGCGGCAGGCUUAACACAUGCAAGUCGAACGAGUGGCGGACGGGUGAGUUAUGCUUGGGAAUCUCGCUUCUGGAGAGCGAUAGCUACGGGAAACUGUUACUACUACCGCCUACCGGAGGAUGCGCCAACGUGGGAUUAGGUAGUUGAUGAGGUAAAGGAUCACCAAGCCGACGAUCUCUAGCUGGUCUGAGAGGAUGACCAGCAACACUGGGACUGGGACACGGCCCAGACUCCUACGGGAGGCAGCAGUGGGGAAUCUUGCGCAAUGGGGGCAACCUGACGCAGCCAUGCCGCGUGAAUGAAGCAGGCCUUCGGGUUGUAAAGUUCUUUCGGUAGCGAGGCGUUAACUACAGAAGAAGCACCGGCUAACUCCGUGCCAGCAGCCGCGGUAAUUC